rnacentral:rRNA from 1 species
GACGUAGGGCGCGAGCGUUGUCCGGAUUUAUUGGGCGUAAAGAGCUCGUAGGCGGCUUGUCGCGUCGGCUGUGAAAACCUGAGGCUCAACCUCAGGCCUGCAGUCGAUACGGGCGGACUUGAGUACUGCAGGGGAGACUGGAAUUCCUGGUGUAGCGGUGAAAUGCGCAGAUAUCAGGAGGAACACCGGUGGCGAAGGCGGGUCUCUGGGCAGUAACUGACGCUGAGGAGCGAAAGCGUGGGGAGCGAACAGG